ensembl:lncRNA
GAGCGCACCAGUAGGAGUUGAGAGUGUGCCGAAGGAGUACGGCAAGAUGUGGGAAAGUUUGAGGCCAGCUUCACCCCUCCAAACCUGCCUCUUGUUCAAGCUGAUAAGGGCAGCUGUCAGACUACACUGGUAUCACCAUGGCGAUUUGGACUAUUUCUCUGCUUCUCUGUGCUGCCUUUGCUCUCGGCCACACAGGUACCUUUGAGGAUACAACCAUCUUUGAGGAGGCUCCGCUCCCAGAAACCUUUGAAGAGACAACUUUUGAAGGAGUUGUUCCUUUCAUAGAAACCUUUAAAGAGACAACCUUUGAGCAGGAUGCUCCUCUUGGUAAGAAUUUUAUUUGGAGUAGGAUUUUAGUUGCAAAUACUAUGAAAAACUUUUUUAACCCUGUACCAAACUAGUUGAUGCUGCAGAGACCAUCGAGGAGGAAGAUGAGACACAGACCUUUGCCACAAAACAGUGCUGGCGUGGAUGGGACAAACAUGACUCCCACUG